rnacentral:rRNA from 1 species
ACCUACGGGACGCAGCAGUAGGGAAUCUUCCACAAUGGACGAAAGUCUGAUGGAGCAACGCCGCGUGAGUGAAGAAGGGUUUCGGAUCGUAAAACCCUGUUGUUAGAGAAGAAAGUGCGUGAGAGUAACUGUUCACAUUUCGACGGUAUCUAACCAGAAAGCCACGGCUAACUACGUGCCAGCAGCCGCGGUAAUACGUAGGUGGCAAGCGUUAUCCGGAUUUAUUGGGCGUAAAGGGAACGCAGGCGGUCUUUUAAGUCUGAUGUGAAAGCCUUCGGCUUAACCGGAGUAGUGCAUUGGAAACU